UGGGGAAUAUUGGACAAUGGGCGCAAGCCUGAUCCAGCCAUGCCGCGUGGAUGAUGAAGGCCCUAGGGUUGUAAAGUCCUUUCGGCGGGGAAGAUAAUGACGGUACCCGCAGAAGAAGCCCCGGCUAACUUCGUGCCAGCAGCCGCGGUAAUACGAAGGGGGCUAGCGUUGCUCGGAAUCACUGGGCGUAAAGCGCACGUAGGCGGACUCUUAAGUCGGUGGUGAAAUCCUGGAGCUCAACUCCAGAACUGCCUCCGAUACUGCGAGUCUUCGAGUCCGGGAGAGGUGAGUGGAACUGCGAGUGUAGAGGUGAAAUUCGUAGAUAUUCGCAAGAACACCAGUGGCGAAGGCGGCUCACUGGCCCGGUACUGACGCUGAGGUGCGAAAGCGUGGGGAGCAAACA
rnacentral:rRNA from 1 species